rnacentral:rRNA from 1 species
AGAGUUUGAUCCUGGCUCAGGACGAACGCUGGCGGCGUGCCUAACACAUGCAAGUCGAGCGGAGACAGUUGGAAGCUUGCUUUUGACUGUUUUAGCGGCGGACGGGUGAGUAACGCGUGAGCAACCUUUCCCAGACAGGGGAAUAACACACCGAAAGGUGUACUAAUACCGCAUAAGACCACGGGAUCACAUGGUUCUGAGGUAAAAGAUUUAUCGGUUUGGGGUGGGCUCGCGUCCGAUUAGGUAGUUGGUGAGGUAACGGCCCACCAAGCCGACGAUCGGUAGCCGACCUGAGAGGGUGAUCGGCCACAUUGGGACUGAGACACGGCCCAAACUCCUACGGGAGGCAGCAGUGGGGAAUAUUGGGCAAUGGAGGAAACUCUGACCCAGCAACGCCGCGUGGAGGAAGAAGGUUUUCGGAUCGUAAACUCCUGUCCUUGGAGACGAGUAGAAGACGGUAUCCAAGGAGGAAGCCCCGGCUAACUACGUGCCAGCAGCCGCGGUAAUACGUAGGGGGCAAGCGUUGUCCGGAAUAAUUGGGCGUAAAGGGCGCGUAGGCGGCUCGGUAAGUCUGGAGUGAAAGUCCUGCUUUUAAGGUGGGAAUUGCUUUGGAUACUGUCGGGCUUGAGUGCAGGAGAGGUUAGUGGAAUUCCCAGUGUAGCGGUGAAAUGCGUAGAGAUUGGGAGGAACACCAGUGGCGAAGGCGACUAACUGGACUGUAACUGACGCUGAGGCGCGAAAGUGUGGGGAGCAAACAGGAUUAGAUACCCUGGUAGUCCACACAGUAAACGAUGAAUACUAGGUGUGCGGGGACUGACCCCCUGCGAGAUCGGAA